CCCUUAGAUGUUCUGGGCCGCACGCGCGCUACACUGACGGAGCCAACGAGUCUUUUCCUUGUCCGGAAGGACUGGGUAAUCUUGUGAAACUUCGUCGUGCUGGGGAUAGAUCAUUGCAAUUUUUGAUCUUGAACGAGGAAUUCCUAGUAAGCGCGAGUCAUCAGCUCGCGUUGAUUACGUCCCUGCCCUUUGUACACACCGCCCGUCGCUACUACCGAUUGAAUGGUUUAGUGAGGACUCCUGAUUGGCGCCGCCGCCCCGGCAACGGAGCAGCGGACUGCCGAAAAGUUGUUCAAACUUGAUCAUUUAGAGGAAGUAAAAGUCGUAACA
rnacentral:rRNA from 1 species